rnacentral:rRNA from 1 species
AACGGGAGGCUGCAGUAGGGAAUCUUCCACAAUGGGCGCAAGCCUGAUGGAGCAACGCCGCGUGUGUGAUGAAGGCUUUCGGGUCGUAAAGCACUGUUGUAUGGGAAGAACGGGUUUAAGAGGAAAUGCUUAAACAGUGACGGUACCAUACCAGAAAGGGACGGCUAAAUACGUGCCAGCAGCCGCGGUAAUACGUAUGUCCCGAGCGUUAUCCGGAUUUAUUGGGCGUAAAGCGAGCGCAGACGGUUGCUUAAGUCUGAAGUGAAAGCCCACAGCUCAACUGUGGAAUGGCUUUGGAAACUGGGCAACUUGAGUGCAGUAGAGGUAAGUGGAACUCCAUGUGUAGCGGUGGAAUGCGUAGAUAUAUGGAAGAACACCAGUGGCGAAGGCGGCUUACUGGACUGCAACUGACGUUGAGGCUCGAAAGUGUGGGUAGCAAACAGGAUUAGAUACCCUGGUAGUCCACACCGUAAACGAUGGAUACUAGUUGUUAGAGGGUUUCCGCCCUUUAGUGNACAANCAAACGCAUUAAGUAUCCCGCCUGGGGAGUACGACCGCNAGGUUGAANCUCAAAGGAAUUGACGGGGACCCNCACAAGCGGUG